CAACCCCUAUCUUAGUUGCCAUCAUUGAGUUGGGCACUCUAAAGAGACUGCCGGUGUCAAACCGGAGGAAGGUGGGGAUGACGUCAGGUCCUCAUGGCCUUUAUGACCAGGGCUACACACGUACUACAAUGGCCGGUACAAAGGGCAGCGACACAGCGAUGUGAAGCCAAUCCCGAAAAAGCCGGUCUCAGUCCCGGAUUGGAGUCUGCAACUCGACUCCAUGAAGUUGGAAUCGCUAGUAAUCGCGGAUCAGCACGCCGCGGUGAAUACGUUCCCGGGCCUU
rnacentral:rRNA from 1 species